GACGAACGCUGGCGGCGUGCUUAACACAUGCAAGUCGAACGGAAAGGCCCUGCUUGCAGGGUACUCGAGUGGCGAACGGGUGAGUAACACGUGGGUGAUCUGCCCUGCACUUCGGGAUAAGCCUGGGAAACUGGGUCUAAUACCGGAUAGGAGCCAUUUUUAGUGUGAUGGUUGGAAAGUUUUUUUCGGUGUAGGAUGAGCUCGCGGCCUAUCAGCUUGUUGGUGGGGUAAUGGCCUACCAAGGCGGCGACGGGUAGCCGGCCUGAGAGGGUGGACGGCCACAUUGGGACUGAGAGACGGCCCAGACUCCUACGGGAGGCAGCAGGGGGGAAUAUUGCACAAUGGGCGCAAGCCUGAUGCAGCGACGCCGCGUGGGGGAUGACGGCCUUCGGGUUGUAAAAUCAUUUCGCUAGGGACGAAGCUUUUUGUGACGGUACCUAGAUAAGAAGCACCGGCUAACUACGUG
rnacentral:rRNA from 1 species